rnacentral:rRNA from 1 species
UAGUCAUAUGCUUGUCUCAAAGAUUAAGCCAUGCACGUGUAAGAUCGUCUUGAAUAGCAAUAUUUACCGGCAAUCUGUGGAAAGCUCAUUAUAACAGUUACAAACUUGGCUUUCUAGCUUAAAGUUAAAAGGAUAACACAGUCAAAUGCAGUGAUAAUAUUUGAACCAAAGCUAAUGAAUUGUAUAGUUAGCGAAUAAUAGCGAAUAAGGGAAAAUACGCUAUAGUAUCUUCGGAUCGAUUGACCUCUUUAGAGGCCUAGGAGAAGUAUUUCUUACUUAUCAUGCUAGUUGUUUCAGUAAGGGUGAAACAAGGCCGUCACGGGUACGGAAAAUUGGGGUUUGACACCGGAGAGGGAGCCUGAGAAAUGGCUACCACAUCCAAGGAAGGCAGCAGGCGCGCAAAUUACCCAAUCCUGAUACAGGGAGGUAGUGACAAAAAAUAACAAUACCGGGCCUUUACGGGUCUGGUAAUUGGAAUGAGUACAAUUUAAAUCCCUUGACGAGGAACAAUU